GAUGAACGCUGGCGGCGUGCCUAAUACAUGCAAGUCGAGCGAAGCGGGGACGGGUGAGUAACACGUGGAAAACCUCCGAUAAGACUGGGAUAACUUCGGGAAAAAGUAGCUAAACCGGAUACGUAAGAUGGAUCCGCGCUGCAUUAGCUAGUUGGUAAGGUAACGGCUUACCAAUGCAACGAUGCAUAGCCGACCUGAGAGGGGUAUCGGCCACACUGGAAAUUAGCCCCGGUCCAGCCUCCUACGGGAGGCAGCAGUAGGGAAUCUUCCGCAAUGGGCGAAAGCCUGACGGACCAACGCCGCGUGAGGGCUGAAGGUUUUCGGAUCGUAAAACUCUGUUAUUAGGGAAGCGGUACCUAAUCAGAAAGCCACGGCUAACUACGUGCCAGCAGCCGCGGUAAUAC
rnacentral:rRNA from 1 species